GACGAACGCUGGCGGUGUGCUUCACACAUGCAAGUCGAACGAGGUAGCAAUACCUAGUGGCGGACGGGUGAGUAACGCGUGGGAAUCUGCCUUGAGAUGGGGGAUAACGAGCCGAAAGGCUCGCUAAUACCGCAUAUGCCGAAAGGUGAAAGGAGUAAUCCGUCUUAAGAUGAGCCCGCGUCCGAGUUAGCUAGUUGGUGGGGUAAAGGCCUACCAAGGCGACGAUCGGUAGCUGGUCUGAGAGGAUGAUCAGACCACAAUGGGACUGAGACACGG
rnacentral:rRNA from 1 species